rnacentral:rRNA from 1 species
AAUGAACGCUGGCGGCGUGUCUUAAGCAUGCAAGUCGAACGGCAAGAGAGGAGCUUGCUUCCCUCCUAGAGUGGCGGACUGGUGAGGAACACGUGGGUAAUCCACCCCUAAGAUGGGGAUAGCUGCUAGAAAUAGCAGGUAAUAUCGCAUACACUCUGUAUAUCACCAGAGGUGUUGAGGAAAGGAAGCUACGGCUUCGCCUGAGGAUGAGCUCGCGUCCCAUUAGCUAGUUGGUAAGGUAAAGGCCCACCAAGGCAACGAUGGGUAUCCGGCCUGAGAGGGUGAACGGACACAUUGGGACUGAGAUACGGCCCAAACUCCUACGGGAGGCAGCAGCAGGGAAUAUUCCGCAAUGGGCGGAAGUCUGACGGAGCGACGCCGCGUGGAUGAAGAAGGCUGAAGAGUUGUAAAAUCCUUUUGUUGAUGAAGAAUAAGGGUGAGAGGGAAUACUCAUCUGAUGACGGUAAUCGACAAAUAAGCCCCGGCUAAUUACGUG